rnacentral:rRNA from 1 species
UUGGUGGGGUAAUGGCCUACCAAGGCGACGACGGGUAGCCGGCCUGAGAGGGCGACCGGCCACACUGGGACUGAGACACGGCCCAGACUCCUACGGGAGGCAGCAGUGGGGAAUAUUGCACAAUGGGCGGAAGCCUGAUGCAGCGACGCCGCGUGAGGGAUGACGGCCUUCGGGUUGUAAACCUCUUUCAGUAGGGACGAAGCGCGAGUGACGGUACCUACAGAAGAAGCGCCGGCCAACUACGUGCCAGCAGCCGCGGUAAGACGUAGGGCGCGAGCGUUGUCCGGAUUUAUUGGGCGUAAAGAGCUCGUAGGCGGCUUGUCGCGUCGGCUGUGAAAUCCCGUGGCUCAACUGCGGGUCUGCAGCCGAUACGGGCAGGCUAGAGUUCGGUAGGGGAGACUGGAAUUCCUGGUGUAGCGGUGAAAUGCGCAGAUAUCAGGAGGAACACCGAUGGCGAAGGCAGGUCUCUGGGCCGAUACUGACGCUGAGGAGCGAAAGCGUGGGGAGCGAACAGGAUUAGAUACCCUGGUAGUCCACGCUGUAAACGUUGGGCGCUAGGUGUGGGGGACCUCUCCGGUUCUCUGUGCCGCAGCUAACGCAUUAAGCGCCCCGCCUGGGGAGUACGG